CCUACGGGAGGCAGCAGUGGGGAAUAUUGCACAAUGGGGGAAACCCUGAUGCAGCGACGCCGCGUGAGUGAAGAAGUAAUUCGGGAUGUAAAGCUCUUUUAGCAGGGAAGAAAAUGACGGUACCUGUGUAAUAUGCCCCGGCCAACUACGUGCCAGCAGCCGCGGUAAUACGUAGGGGGCAAGCGUUAUCCGGAUUUACUGGGUGUAAAGGGAGCGUAGACGGGAGUGCAAGUCUGGAGUGAAAGGCGGGGGCUCAACCCCCGGACUGCUCUGGAAACUGUACGGCUGGAGUGCAGGAGAGGUAGGGGGAAUUCGUGGUGUAGCGGUGAAAUGCGUAGAUAUCAGGAAGAACCCCGAUGGCGAAGGCAGCAUACUGGACUGUAACUGACGUUGAGGCUCGAAAGCGUGGGGAGCGAACAGGAUUAGAUACCCCUGUAGUC
rnacentral:rRNA from 1 species